GUCGUUGUAGUAUAGUGAGUACGCCUGUCACGCGGGUGAUCCGGGUUCGAUCCCGGCACCGGCG
rnacentral:tRNA from 1 species